rnacentral:rRNA from 1 species
UACGGAGGAUGCGAGCGUUAUCCGGAUUUAUUGGGUUUAAAGGGUGCGCAGGCGGAUUUUUAAGUCAGCGGUAAAAUGUCCGGGCUCAACCUGGGCCGGCCGUUGAAACUGGGGAUCUUGAGUGGGCGAGAAGUAUGCGGAAUGCGUGGUGUAGCGGUGAAAUGCAUAGAUAUCACGCAGAACUCCGAUUGCGAAGGCAGCAUACCGGCGCCCGACUGACGCUGAGGCACGAAAGCGUGGGGAUCGAACAGG